UUUAGACUUAAGAGCUAUUCAAAUAAGGCACAGCUUAUUUGAAAUAGGACACAACCUACAACAUAGGGUAAACUAGAGUGACCUAAAUAAAGUGGGCCUAAAAGCAGCCACCUUUAGAAAAGCGUUAAAGCUUAACUACCUUCACUCAUAAUGCCUAAAAUCUCCACUAACCCUUCAUUACUACUGAACAAUUUUAUACUUAUAUAAAAGCUAUCAUGCUAGAACUAGUAACAAGAAACUGCUUUUCUCCUAAAUGUAAACAUAAACCAAAAUAGACUCUCUAUUGGUUAUUAACGUAAAUGCUAAACUGUAGCAACACUCACUAGAAAAUCCUAUAAACCCCCAACGUUAACCUUACACCAGAACAUUACAGGAAAGAUUAAAAGAAAAAGAAGGAACUCGGCAAAUUUUAGCCUCGCCUGUUUACCAAAAACAUCGCCUCUUGACAAAACAUAAGAGGUCCAGCCUGCCCAGUGACAAAGUUCAACGGCCGCGGUACCCUAACCGUGCAAAGGUAGCACAAUCACUUGUUCUUUAAAUGAGGACUCGUAUCAACGGCACUACGAGGGCUAUACUGUCUCCUUUUUCUAAUCAGUGAAACUGAUCUCCCCGUGAAGAAGCGGGGAUUAUAAUAUAAGACGAGAAGACCCCAUGGAGCUUUAAACUCACCAUGCACCUCUGUGCUCCUAUACCCCUAAACACAACAGACCUGCAUGUUAGUUUUAGGUUGGGGUGACCACGGAGUAUAACAUAACCUCCACAGCAAACGGGCUAAUACCCUUAUCCACGAGACACAACUCUAAGAAUUACUAAACUAAUGCUUACGACCCGAUAUUCGAUCCAUGAACCAAGUUACCCUGGGGAUAACAGCGCAAUCUACUUCAAGAGCCCAUAUCGACAAGUAGGUUUACGACCUCGAUGUUGGAUCAGGGUAUCCCGGUGGUGCAGCCG
rnacentral:rRNA from 1 species